rnacentral:sRNA from 1 species
CGGCAUCAGCGUGCUCCGGGCGU